rnacentral:rRNA from 1 species
CAAUAGCGUAUAUUAAUGUUGUUGCAGUUAAAAAGCUCGUAGUUGGAUUUGUGGCGUACGGUGUGUUCCGGGCACUUGUUGUCUGAGUAACCUGCUGUUGCCAUCCUUGGGUGGAACCUGUGUGGCAUUAGGUUGUCGUGCAGGGGAUGCCCAUCAUUUACUGUGAAAAAAUUAGAGUGUUCAAAGCAGGCUUAUGCCGUUGAAUAUAUUAGCAUGGAAUAAUGAGAUAGGACUUUUUUGCUAUUUUGUUGGUUUGCGCAAGAAGGUAAUGAUUAAUAGGGACAGUUGGGGGUAUUCGUAUUCCAUUGUCAGAGGUGAAAUUCUUGGAUUUUUGGAAGACGAACUACUGCGAAAGCAUUUACCAAGGAUGUUUUCAUUAA